rnacentral:rRNA from 1 species
ACGGGUGAGUAACGCGUGGGAAUCUACCCAUCUCUACGGAAUAACGCAUGGAAACGUGUGCUAAUACCGUAUACGUCCUUCGGGAGAAAGAUUUAUCGGAGAUGGAUGAGCCCGCGUUGGAUUAGCUAGUUGGUGGGGUAAAGGCCUACCAAGGCGACGAUCCAUAGCUGGUCUGAGAGGAUGAUCAGCCACACUGGGACUGAGACACGGCCCAGACUCCUACGGGAGGCAGCAGUGGGGAAUAUUGGACAAUGGGCGCAAGCCUGAUCCAGCCAUGCCGCGUGAGUGAUGAAGGCCCUAGGGUUGUAAAGCUCUUUCACCGGUGAAGAUAAUGACGGUAACCGGAGAAGAAGCCCCGGUUAACUUCGUGCCAGCAGCCGCGGUAAUACGAAGGGGGCUAGCGUUGUUCGGAUUUACUGGGCGUAAAGCGCACGUAGGCGGACUAUUAAGUCAGGGGUGAAAUCCCGGGGCUCAACCCCGGAACUGCCUUUGAUACUGGUAGUCUUGAGUUCGAGAGAGGUGAGUGGAAUUCCGAGUGUAGAGGUGAAAUUCGUAGA